GAAAAUCUCCUUUGGCUGCUAACGCGUGGUCAAGAGGAACUGAUGAAGAGCAGUCCAGAGAGUUGAGCUCAGUCUCUCGGUGCCUGUGCUUCUUUGACCACCCCUCUAUUGGUGCCCCACCUGCCCUCUAAAUGUAGGUACAUAUGCAGCAUGCAGUUUUUAAAAUAAAGCUUAUUUUAGUUUGGCAACGAGAUCGUGACUUUAGGUUUAAACCAUCACAAAGGAGGAAGUUUUGAAUCAAAAUGUUUAUUCUUUGUAUCUGACAAGCAUGUUAGAAGUCUGAACUACUAACCUAUUGCUAUUUCCAAAUAUGGGCCUGACAUUAUGCCAGAGU